rnacentral:rRNA from 1 species
GAUGAACGCUAGCUACAGGCUUAACACAUGCAAGUCGAGGGGUAACGAGAGGAAAGCUUGCUUUCCUUGUCGACGACCGGCGCACGGGUGAGUAACGCGUAUCCAACCUGCCCCCAACUAGGGAAUAACCUUGCGAAAGUAAGACUAAUACCCUAUAAUUUCCUCAGAUGUCAUCUGACGAGGAAGAAAGAUUUAUCGGUUGUGGAUGGUGAUGCUUCUGAUGAGCUUGUUGGCGGGGUAACGGCCCACCAAGGCAACGAUCAGUAGGGGUGCUGAGAGGAAGGUCCCCCACAUUGGAACUGAGACACGGUCCAAACUCCUACGGGAGGCAGCAGUGAGGAAUAUUGGUCAAUGGGCGGAAGCCUGAACCAGCCAAGUAGCGUGCAGGAUGACGGCCCUAUGGGUUGUAAACUGCUUUUAUACAGGAGUAAAGUUAGCCACGUGUGGUUAUUUGUAGGUACUGUAUGAAUAAGGACCGGCUAAUUCCGUGCCAGCCGCCGCGGUAA